UGUACACCUAAUUGACACUUCAUUUUUUUUUAUGACAGGCAGAAAGUCCAAAAACCCUACAGGGGAACAGAGCGCAAGAACGAAACACCCCUAGCCUCUUUGGCUAUAAUCCUCCGAAGCAAGGGAAGACCAGACUGAAGCCAAGUCAAAACAAAAGUUCCUUGAUGACCAAGGUGUUGAUGAAUCAUUUAUGAAUAUAGAGUGGGGAAUUGUGGUGGAGUGAGAGUACCUUGGAGGUGCCGCGAGAAUGAGUCCAAGAGCCCCAAGCAGAAGGGUAAGAUUCAGCGAUGGUGUAAGGGAGAUCCUUGACGCCGGUGCCAGAUCCGCCAACGACCUCUUUCAGGAAUUUGAACAUGCUGAAUCGGAAUCGUAAUCGGAGAGUGAGUGCGGUGGUGGUGGUGGCGGUGGUGGUGGAGGUGGAGAGGAGAGGGCGUUAACUACCGACGCUGGAUGAAUCUGAUCCGGUGUUUCGCGGUCUAGUGGUGGUGCACAGGCGACACACACACACCUCUUUUGUAUUGUCAACCAGACUUCAAAAUAAAAUGGCACGUGAUAACAAGUGUCCUAAGAGAUGUUUAAUUCUUUUAAAAAAAAUAGGACUUAGCAUUAAUAUUUUUGUAAUCUUUGUGUACUUAUGGUUGUAUGAACAAAGUUGAUUUUUUAUGCUUAAAAUUGUAUUUGACAACAUGUUAUAAUGGAUUAUGAGGUGUUGUAAUAUGUUAAAUUAUUUUUGGUUAUGUUUUAA